rnacentral:lncRNA from 1 species
AUCCAUGAGGACGCAGGUUUGAUCCCUGGCCUGGUUCAGUGGGUUAAGAAUUUAGCGUUGGUGUAGGCCAGCAGCAACAGUUCCGAUUGGACCCCUAACCUGGGAAUCUCCAUAUGCCACUAGUGUGGCCCUAAAAAAAAAAAAAAAAAAAAAAAAAAAACCCAAAAAACAAACAACAACAAAAAAAGAGCAGCACAGCAGGCAAAAGGAACCGUCUGUGAGAGGGAUGGAAUUAUUUAAAAAAAAAAAAAAUGUCAUUCAUUUCUCAUAGGACCCCUUCAGGGAGGUUUUAUUAAUUGAGAAGUACGCUUAGCUUUCCACCAACAUCUUCUUCCCUAAGGCUCCCUAACUCAGUAACUGACUGUACUAUUCACUCAGCUGCUUUUAAAUUUAGAAACAUAGUAGUCUUCCUCUGACAUCUAUAUCUGUUCCCCUCAUUCCCCCACAUCCAAUUCUAUACCAUAGGAAAUUUGUUUUACCUCCUAAAAUUCUUGAGAAUCCAUUCACUUUUUGUCCAUUUCUUUUCCCUUCACUCUAGUCCAAGGGAAGUGUUGUAUCAUCUCUUGUUUGCAGUAUCCUUUAGUCACCCAUAGAUUAUCAGUUCCUGUCUCCAGUUCAUUCUUUACUUCUUAGCCAACACAAACUCAUUAAAUGUCAAUUCUGUGUCACUCCUUGUUCAAAACUCUCUAGUGCCUUCCCAAUGCCCUUAGAAUAAACCCCUCACAUGGUGUCUCUUGAUCUGCACACUAGUCUCUCAUACCUCUCCAUCUAUUGCAACCAACUCUUCCCUUUUCUCUUUCCAGCCAGGCUGGUUUUUCUGUGUGGCAAUGUGGCCAAGCUUCUUCCAUCCUCAGGGCCUUUGUACAAGCUUUUCCUUUGCCUUAGAAUUCUUUCCCUGCCUGCCCACUUACCCCUUCCCCUUUCCCAAGCUAAUGCCUUAUCUUUUAGGCCUCACUUUAUUUCUUUUUUGGCCACCUUGAGGGAUAUGGAGUUCCCAGUGCAAGGAUUAGAUCCCAUGAAGCUGUGGGGAUUGAACCUUCGUCUUGUUACUGCAGAGAUGUCACCGAUCCCAUUGCUCCAUAUCGGGAACUUCAGGUCUUAUUUUAAACAUAUCUUACCCAGGGAAACGUCCUUGUCCAGUCAAGUCUAGAUUGGAUCUUUCUGUUACUCACUUUUACUACUCUGUAUUGCUCCUUCAGCAUUUACCACAAUUCUAUGGUUAUGUUGUUCUUUUAAUUAAUUUUUCUCUUAUCAGAAUAAGUAAUACAUCCAUUUCAUGAAAAAUUCAAAUUGUAAACAGGGUAUAAAGUCUCCCCUUCCCUCUGCUACCCAGUUCUCCUUACAAGUAACUACUUUUAGUAUUUUGAAUAUCCUUUCAGAUAUUUUGAGUAUAUAAGCAAUUAUGUACAUAUUAUUCAUCUUUAUUUCUGC